GAUGAACGCUGGCGGCGUGCCUAAUACAUGCAAGUCGAGCGAACAGACGAGGAGCUUGCUCCUCUGACGUUAGCGGCGGACGGGUGAGUAACACGUGGAUAACCUACCUAUAAGACUGGGAUAACUUCGGGAAACCGGAGCUAAUACCGUAUAACAUGUUGAACCGCAUGGUUCAACAGUGAAAGACGGUCUUGCUGUCACUUAUAGAUGGAUCCGCGCCGCAUUAGCUAGUUGGUAAGGUAACGGCUUACCAAGGCAACGAUGCGUAGCCGACCUGAGAGGGUGAUCGGCCACACCGGAACUGAGACACGGUCCAGACUCCUACGGGAGGCAGCAGUAGGGAAUCUUCCGCAAUGGGCGAAAGCCUGACGGAGCAACGCCGCGUGAGUGAAGAAGGUCUUCGGAUCGUAAAACUCUGUUAUUAGGGAAGAACAAAUGUGUAAGUAACUAUGCACGUCUUGACGGUACCUAAUCAGAAAGCCACGGCUAACUACGUG
rnacentral:rRNA from 1 species